UGGGGAAUUUUGUGCAAUGGGCGAAAGCCUGACACAGCGACACCGCGUGAACGAAGAAGCCCUUUGGGGUGUAAAGUUCUGUCGGCUGGAACGAAAAAAAUGACGGUACCAGCAAAGGAAGCAUCGGCUAACUACGUGCCAGCAGCCGCGGUAAGACGUAGGAUGCAAGCGUUGUCCGGAUUUAUUGGGCGUAAAGAGUUCGUAGGCGGUCUGUUAAGUCUGAUGUUAAAGAUCGGGGCUCAACCCCGGGAGUGCAUUGGAUACUGGCAGGCUGGAGUGCGGUAGAGGCGAGUGGAAUUCCCAGUGUAGCGGUGAAAUGCGUAGAUAUUGGGAAGAACACCAGUGGCGUAGGCGACUCGCUGGGCCGUAACUGACGCUGAGGAACGAAAGCCAGGGGAGCGAAUGGGAUUAGAUACCCCCGUAGUCC
rnacentral:rRNA from 1 species